CAGCCGCCGCGGUAAUACGAAGGGUGCAAGCGUUACUCGGAAUUACUGGGCGUAAAGCGUGCGCAGGUGGUGGUUUAAGUCCGUUGUGAAAGCCCUGGGCUCAACCCGGGAAUUGCAGUGGAUACUGGGUCACUAGAGUGUGGUAGAGGAUAGUGGAAUUUCCGGUGUAGCAGUGAAAUGCGUAGAGAUCGGAAGGAACAUCUGUGGCGAAGGCGACUAUCUGGGCCAACACUGACACUGAGGCACGAAAGCGUGGGGAGCAAACAGGAUUAGAUACCCGGGUAGUCCCUGUCUCUUAUAC
rnacentral:rRNA from 1 species